rnacentral:rRNA from 1 species
CGGCAACAGCUCAAAUUUGAAAUCUGGCUCUUUCAGGGUCCGAGUUGUAAUUUGUAGAAGAUGCUUCGGGUGUGGUGCCGGUCUAAGUUCCUUGGAACAGGACGUCAUAGAGGGUGAGAAUCCCGUACGUGACUGGCCACCUUCGCCUGUGUGAAGCUCUUUCGAC